rnacentral:misc_RNA from 1 species
GAUGAAGAACGCAGCGAAAUGCGAUAAGUAAUGUGAAUUGCAGAGUUCAGUGAAUCAUCGAGUCUUUGAACGCACAUUGCGCCCCCUGGUAUUCCGGGGGGCAUGCCUGUCCGAGCGUCAUUGCUGCCCUCAAGCACGGCUUGUGUGUUGGGCUUCCGUCCCUGGCAACGGGGACGGGCCCAAAAGGCAGUGGCGGCACCAUGUCUGGUCCUCGAGCGUAUGGGGCUUUGUCACCCGCUCCCGUAGGUCCAGCUGGCAGCUAGCCUCGCAACCAAUCUUUUUAACCAGGUUGACCUCGGAUCAGGUAGGGAUACCCGCUGAACUUAAGCAUAUCAAUAAGCGGAGGA